GUUAUCGUUUAUUUGAUAGUACCUUACUACUUGGAUAACCGUGGUAAUUCUAGAGCUAAUACAUGCUAAAAACCCCAACUUCGGGAGGGGUGUAUUUAUUAGAUAAAAAACCAAUGCCCUUCGGGGCUCCUUGGUGAUUCAUGAUAACUUCUCAGAUCGCAUGGCUUUACGCCGGCGACGGUUCAUUCAAAUUUCUGCCCUAUCAACUUUCGAUGGUAAGGUAUUGGCUUACCAUGGUUUCAACGGGUAACGGGGAAUUAGGGUUCGAUUCCGGAGAGGGAGCCUGAGAAACGGCUACCACAUCCAAGGAAGGCAGCAGGCGCGCAAAUUACCCAAUUCCGAUACGGAGAGGUAGUGACAAUAAAUACUGAUACAGGGCUCUUUUGGGUCUUGUAAUUGGAAUGAGUACAAUUUAAACCUCUUAACGAGGAACAAUUGGAGGGCAAGUCUGGUGCCAGCAGCCGCGGUAAUUCCAGCUCCAAUAGCGUAUAUUAAAGUUGUUGCAGUUAAAAAGCUCGUGGUUGAACCUUUG
rnacentral:rRNA from 1 species